rnacentral:rRNA from 1 species
GGUUAAGCGACUAAGCGUACACGGUGGAUGCCCUGGCAGUCAGAGGCGAUGAAGGGCGUGCUAAUCUGCGAUAAGCGCCGGUAAGGUGAUAUGAACCGUUAUAACCGGCGAUACCCGAAUGGGGAAACCCAGUGUGAUUCGUCACACUAUCAUUAACUGAAUCCAUAGGUUAAUGAGGCGAACCGGGGGAACUGAAACAUCUAAGUACCCCGAGGAAAAGAAAUCAACCGAGAUUCCCCCAGUAGCGGCGAGCGAACGGGGAGGAGCCCAGAGCCUGAAUCAGCAUGUGUGUUAGUGGAAGCGUCUGGAAAGGUGCGCGAUACAGGGUGACAGCCCCGUACACAAAAGCGCAUGUGCUGUGAGCUCGAUGAGUAGGGCGGGACACGUGGUAUCCUGUCUGAAUAUGGGGGGACCAUCCUCCAAGGCUAAAUACUCCUGACUGACCGAUAGUGAACCAGUACCGUGAGGGAAAGGCGAAAAGAACCCCGGCGAGGGGAGUGAAAAAGAACCUGAAACCGUGUACGUACAAGCAGUGGGAGCACAGGUUUACCUGUGUGACUGCGUACCUUUUGUAUAAUGGGUCAGCGACUUAUAUUCUGUAGCAAGGUUAACCGUAUAGGGGAGCCGUAGGGAAACCGAGUCUUAACCGGGCGUUAAGUUGCAGGGUAUAGACCCGAAACCCGGUGAUCUAGCCAUGGGCAGGUUGAAGGUUGGGUAACACUAACUGGAGGACCGAACCGACUAAUGUUGAAAAAUUAGCGGAUGACCUGUGGCUGGGGGUGAAAGGCCAAUCAAACCGGGAGAUAGCUGGUUCUCCCCGAAAGCUAUUUAGGUAGCGCCUCGUGAAUUCAUCUCCGGGGGUAGAGCACUGUUUCGGCUAGGGGGCCAUCCCGGCUUACCAACCCGAUGCAAACUGCGAAUACCGGAGAAUGUUAUCACGGGAGACACACGGCGGGUGCUAACGUCCGUCGUGAAGAGGGAAACAACCCAGACCGCCAGCUAAGGUCCCAAAGUCAUGGUUAAGUGGGAAACGAUGUGGGAAGGCCCAGACAGCCAGGAUGUUGGCUUAGAAGCAGCCAUCAUUUAAAGAAAGCGUAAUAGCUCACUGGUCGAGUCGGCCUGCGCGGAAGAUGUAACGGGGCUAAACCAUGCACCGAAGCUGCGGCAGCGAACGUAUCACCCAAGACAACUUUACGGAGUUGACGAUUGACGGAGCGAAGCGACGUCAAAGCGUUCAUUAAAGUCGAGUUGGCUUAGGGAUACGUUCGUUGGGUAGGGGAGCGUUCUGUAAGCCUGUGAAGGUGUGUCGUGAGGCAUGCUGGAGGUAUCAGAAGUGCGAAUGCUGACAUAAGUAACGAUAAAGCGGGUGAAAAGCCCGCUCGCCGGAAGACCAAGGGUUCCUGUCCAACGUUAAUCGGGGCAGGGUGAGUCGACCCCUAAGGCGAGGCCGAAAGGCGUAGUCGAUGGGAAACGGGUUAAUAUUCCCGUACUUGGUGUUACUGCGAAGGGGGGACGGAGAAGGCUAUGUUGGCCGGGCGACGGUUGUCCCGGUUUAAGCGUGUAGGUGUGUGUUCCAGGUAAAUCCGGUUCACUUUAACACUGAGGCGUGAUGACGAGGCACUACGGUGCUGAAGCAACAAAUGCCCUGCUUCCAGGAAAAGCCUCUAAGCAUCAGGUAACAUCAAAUCGUACCCCAAACCGACACAGGUGGUCAGGUAGAGAAUACCAAGGCGCUUGAGAGAACUCGGGUGAAGGAACUAGGCAAAAUGGUGCCGUAACUUCGGGAGAAGGCACGCUGACACGUAGGUGAAGUGAUUUACUCACGGAGCUGAAGUCAGUCGAAGAUACCAGCUGGCUGCAACUGUUUAUUAAAAACACAGCACUGUGCAAACACGAAAGUGGACGUAUACGGUGUGACGCCUGCCCGGUGCCGGAAGGUUAAUUGAUGGGGUCAGCGCAAGCGAAGCUCCUGAUCGAAGCCCCGGUAAACGGCGGCCGUAACUAUAACGGUCCUAAGGUAGCGAAAUUCCUUGUCGGGUAAGUUCCGACCUGCACGAAUGGCGUAAUGAUGGCCAGGCUGUCUCCACCCGAGACUCAGUGAAAUUGAACUCGCUGUGAAGAUGCAGUGUACCCGCGGCAAGACGGAAAGACCCCGUGAACCUUUACUAUAGCUUGACACUGAACAUUGAGCCUUGAUGUGUAGGAUAGGUGGGAGGCUUUGAAGUGUGGACGCCAGUCUGCAUGGAGCCGACCUUGAAAUACCACCCUUUAAUGUUUGAUGUUCUAACGUGGACCCGUAAUCCGGGUUGCGGACAGUGUCUGGUGGGUAGUUUGACUGGGGCGGUCUCCUCCUAAAGAGUAACGGAGGAGCACGAAGGUUGGCUAAUCCUGGUCGGACAUCAGGAGGUUAGUGCAAUGGCAUAAGCCAGCUUGACUGCGAGCGUGACGGCGCGAGCAGGUGCGAAAGCAGGUCAUAGUGAUCCGGUGGUUCUGAAUGGAAGGGCCAUCGCUCAACGGAUAAAAGGUACUCCGGGGAUAACAGGCUGAUACCGCCCAAGAGUUCAUAUCGACGGCGGUGUUUGGCACCUCGAUGUCGGCUCAUCACAUCCUGGGGCUGAAGUAGGUCCCAAGGGUAUGGCUGUUCGCCAUUUAAAGUGGUACGCGAGCUGGGUUUAGAACGUCGUGAGACAGUUCGGUCCCUAUCUGCCGUGGGCGCUGGAGAACUGAGGGGGGCUGCUCCUAGUACGAGAGGACCGGAGUGGACGCAUCACUGGUGUUCGGGUUGUCAUGCCAAUGGCACUGCCCGGUAGCUAAAUGCGGAAGAGAUAAGUGCUGAAAGCAUCUAAGCACGAAACUUGCCCCGAGAUGAGUUCUCCCUGAGACUUUAGGUCUCCUGAAGGAACGUUGAAGACGACGACGUUGAUAGGCCGGGUGUGUAAGCGCAGCGAUGCGUUGAGCUAACCGGUACUAAUGAACCGUGAGGCUUAACCUU